CAAGUAGUAAACAGAUAUGAGUGGGGAAGCUUGAAAACCACCGAUCGUGCUGGGUUUGUUGCUUUUUUUAAAGAACAUGUGUGCUUGUGGUUUUAUACUGCCUGCCCAUAAUGUAGCCAUAUUUUCUGCUAUUAAACUUGUUCCUACUUCAUGGAUAGAAUGAAACAGACCAUUAUUCCAGGGUGUUCCUGGAAGAGCCUCAUGUUUCAGGAAACUCACCACGACUGUUAGUUUUCUACCGCUUGAGUACAGCCAUGUGCCACGUAACGACGUUUCAGUCAACGAUAGACCUCCUAUAUGAUGACGCUCCCCUGCGAUUAGUACCAUACAGCCUAGGUGUGUAGUAGGCUAUCCCAUCUAGGUUUGUGUAAGUAUACCCUGUGAUCUUCGCACAACGAUGCAAUCGCCGAAUGCCACAUUUCUCAGGAUGUGUCCCCGUCGUGAAGCCACAUAUGACUGUACACUUGAGCACCAUUCUUGCAGACUCUCAAGUAUUAGUUUCCUUUCCUCCUUCCCCCCCUCCCUCUGCUGUCUCACAUCAUGGCCCAGACUGACUCCCAGCCUCUGCCAGGCUGAAGAUAACCUCUCUGUCUGGCAUAUCACCCAUGGGCUAAAUUUAUUCUCAGGGGUGAGCUGGGGCUACUCUGACCAGUGACUCCAGGCAAGCAUUUGAGCACCCAUAUCUUGGGAAGUGGAGGGGACCUACAGGGAGGAAUGAAAGAUGCAGAGAGAGAUUGACAGGAAGCUGGCAAAGGGGCUUUGGAGAAAUAGUCAUGAUACACAGUGACUAUAGCAUAAGUUGAAACAGCCUGAAGGAUUUGACUGCUCCCAGCAAAGAUUCCUUUUCUGUCAGUUAUAAUGUUACUGUAAUACAACCCCCAAAGGGAAACGCUCAGUGCUAAUCAGGGCUCAAGAAGUCAGUGGACUUGAUGUACAGAAUGGGGUGUUUCAUUUUAUGAUGUGGCUAUGGGUUACAUAAGAGACUAAUAAAAGAACUCCAUAAAAUGUGGCUUGGAACAGUGGGGUUGCAGCCUCUGCCAGAGGGUCAGCCUGCUCAGAAGUGGUUGUAGAGCAGGGCUGAUGUCUAGCUGGUGUGCGCUUGUAUGUGUUCUGGUUCUUAAACUACUGAAAGCCUUCUGUACCAGUUGUCAAGAGGCUGCCGCUCUUAGCUUUCUAAGCACUCUCCUGCUGCCGUGACUGCCCCUACUCCAGGACCUCCCCAGGAUCCAGCGACCAAAUGCAGAAAGCCUGAAAGUCCUGUUCUAUGCCAUGUCUCCAGUGCCACCUUGUUUCUGAGUGGCUGGUGCCCAUGCAGUAUCAGUUGUUAAGUACUUAAAACAUCACCCGUCUUACAGCAUGUCUUCCUGGGGAUUGGGCCCGUCAGAUACCUGUGGAGCAGAAUAGGGACACAGUUUCAUAAGAUUGUUAUUUCGGAUUCCGGGCCAGUCCAGGAUGCCCAAAAGAGGCUUUCUUAAGGGGUGCCUGUCACUCUCCUGGUGGCUGCAAGGACACACCCAACCGUUCCCUUGAAUCAUAUUUGGUUACCUCAAAGGAGAGUUUUAAUAGACCCAGGGACGACUUCAGGAUUGAAGAGUAUAUUUGGAAGAAACAGACAAAUUUGCGUAAGGUUUCCCAACCAGGAAUUGCAUUUGCCAUAGAAUUUGUAUUAGAAGGAUACUUAGAAGACAUCGGGUCUCUCUUCCCAGCCAGCACAGACUCCUUCUGAAUCACCCGCCAACGGGGGAUAGCCAACCCUUCUAGGUCAUGUCUACUGAAAGGGAACUCAGCUCUUUGAAAGAAGCCUUCUGUGUGAACCAGCAGGAGCUGAAAUCUUCCUAAACAAAUCAAAGUGUGAACUCCUUUUGUUGAAUUGCAAUCUUCUUACACAUCUCAAAUUUUGUUCCCUCACUUAGAUGGAAUUGCAAGCCAAAGAUGGCUCCAAAGCAAGCAAUGUCAUCUACUAACAUGUCCUUUAGUACCAAGUAAGCUGAGAGGGCCUACAAUCAUUCAUUCAUUCAGCCAAUGUUUGUUGAGUGGCCCCCAGGUGCCGGGCAGUGUGCCUGGUGCUGGAGAUUCAGCACUGAGCUGAAGGUGGUCUUGCUCUGAAAGACUGCCCAGUCCAUUGGGGACCCUCUUUGCAGCUACUCACAGAGCUAUUGUCAAUUAAGGGACCCACAGAGGUGGCCCUGAGGCCUCAAAGAACAGAUAAAAGAAAACAACUCUGCACCUGAGGGCUCAGUGGUCAGAGAGAGGGAGAAGAAGAACGCACCAAACAGCCCCUCGAGGAAAUAACACCGCUAGAAUAGACAACCCGAGCAGAAGAAACAAGGACGUUCAAACACAGUGCAAAAAAAAAAAAGGACUUCCUGGAACUAAAACGUAUUUUUAAGUGAACUACUCAUUGGAUGAAUUAAAGCAGAAUAUGGGCUUAGCAGAUCAAGUGGGAGGAUAUCCCAAGCACAGAACAAAAGUACAAAGAGAUGGAAAUCCUGAGGGCAAAAUCAGAGACAAGGAGGCUACUGGGAGGAGACCCAAGAUGUCAGUAGUCAGAGUUCCAGGAGGAGAAGAAAAGUAAACAGAGGAAGGAGAGUGAAUGAUUAGACAAGUGACAGAAGUCUUCGUGAGUGAAGACUUGGAUUCGAGGUUUAAAAAGAACUCCUGAGUUCCCUGUGUCUGAAAGGCAGGUACCCAAGCCCAUCCAGAUAAAAUUCGUGAGCAGCAGGUGUAAAGAGAGCCGCUUGUCCCAUUCGGUACAAAGAGGAAAACGUUAAUUACAACGGGAAAGGAAAGAGGUGGGUGUCGCAUUUCUCACCUACAAUGAUGGGAACUUGGACACACCUACAAAAUACUAGAGCCAGGCAAAAUGCUUCUUGCUGGUUAGGUCAAAAAAAAAAAAAAAAUGUUUCACCCAGAUACAGAGGCACGUGUCUGAUUAAAAUACUCUAGAAAGAACCUGAAGCCAAAGAAACAGUCAACAGAUAACUCAAGAUAGGAGAAGAUGAAGAAGAAAGAAGUCAGUGGUAGUAUUCCAGAAGGAAUCUCAGAUCCUUGUUCAUACUGGAGCCCAAGUGACCAUCAAAACAAGAGGCUGCUUCUCCAUAGGCAGUUCCGAGGAUCAAGGUUCCUGUUAAUUCUGGAUUUGGAAAAACAUACCUGGGAAGGAGGCAGGCACUCCCACUGCAUUACCUCUGAGAAAGACACAGCCACAGGAUUCUCGUCCAUCUGAUUCCAGUAGCAUCUACCACUCGUUCUGCUCAUCUGUUACUAAAGUUAAAUUAAAUAGUUUAUGGAGUACUCACUAUGUGGAAGGCUUUACGCUGAUCAUAAUCCUAUAGUGCCUUGAUUAAUUUUUCCAGAUUGUUCAUCUCUGUACGUAUCAUACCCCCAAUGGGAUCACUUGUGCUGCAUGCAUCCUUCCUGACAUCUAGCACACGGAGUUGAGAGCUAAAGUCCAUGUACGAGCUAACCCACUUCCUGCUAGAACUCUGGUAUAACACGGGAGUGAGUCGAACACAUAAUUAUUAAAGUUAUAUGUGCUCAAUUUAAAAAGUUGGGAAAUAUAUACAAGUAUAAAUUUACCCAUAAUCCUGUCAUCCAGAGAUAACUGCUUUUAAUAUUUUGGUCUAUUUCAUUUUAACCUUCUUUAAUCUAUGUCUCUAUUUACCUAAUUUGGAACAUUCUGUAUUCAAACUUUUAUACUCUACAUUUUCCCAUGCCAUUAAAAUUUUUGAAAACAUAGUUUAAAUGGCUGUGUAAUACUCCAUUAUAUUGAUGAACCAUCAUUUAUUUAUCAAUUUCCUUAUUAGACGUGUAGGCUGCUGUCAAUUUUUUCAUUAUUACAAAAAUUAUUACAAUGAGCAGUUUUUAUACAUAUAUCUACACAUCUAUAAGUCUACAUAUCUGAUUAUUUCCCUGUGAUGUAUUCAUGGAAUUUAAAUUACCAUCCAAGGGGUACGGAACUUUUAAAGUUCUUGGUUUGUAUUACCAAAUUGCUGUCAGAAAGGUUUAUGUUUUCUAGUCCCAUCAGUGGAGAAGAAUGCCUGGUUUAUCAUUCCUACAUUCAUUAUCUUUUUCAAUAUUUAUAAAUUUGAUUAGAGUACAUGAGUUUUAGUCUUUUACAUAUUUCUUUAAUCAUUAAUGAGCUCAAACAUCUUAAUAUAUUUCUUAGCAACUUUAUUUCUUCUCUGAAUUAUCUGUUUAUGUUUUUGACCAUUUUAAACAAUGGAAGCGUUAGUAUUUUUCUGUUGAUGUGCUACUCAUGCAUUAUUGAAGGCUUUAAAGGCCAUUUUAAAAUCACCUGCGUAUUUUUUUAUGCCACAUCAUCCAUAGCCACCUUAGAAGAAAGACCAGUCCCAGAGGCAUAGAGCAGUUCCUUCAAAGAUGACCUCAGUUAUUUUGGGUUGUUGAAUAAUUUCUUCCUUGGGUAAAAAUGCACGAGAAAAUGUGCGUGCAGUUUUUUCGUCAGCACACUUACUUUCUAUUAAGUGGAUAUUUUGUGCUGAAACAGAUUCGCAGAUCCACCAAACCAGACGAUGUUGCUGGCAGAAAAAUGUGCACGCUCUGGUGUUUGUGCAAGAAUGAGAAGACCUCUGUGGCGCAGUGGCAGGAGCCUGCAAAUAACGUCCACUGUGGUGGAUUUGGGAUUGUCCAGAAUGUGACUGUGUAAGGCUGGGAUUGGAAGCCCGUUCUGAAUAUGUGCCUGAGUACCACGUCAGUUCAGCCGUGCUGAGCCUGAGCGAGGCGUCCUCCCUCACAAGCUUCCCAGGACCCCUUGGCUGUGCACACAAAGAGAAGCCGGCUUUUCUUGUUUGCGCCUUUGCUCCUUCCUAUUUGAUUGAAUUUGAAGAGGAACUGUUUGCCUUUGGCUGCACAUCCUGAAUCAUAAUCAGGAUGCUGCUGGCACAGAAAACCUGCUCCCACCCUUGCCUGAAAUAACUGAACAGGGAAGUCGAGAUCCUCCCCUCUCCAAACUUAAAGAAAGAGGCUCAUAAUUUAUGGAGUGCUGGCAAAGCAUCAAAAGUCAAUCCAGUCACUUACAGUAAAAUCAAGGAGGGCGGAACAAUGAAUAUAAAGUGAGAUUCAAACACCUCAUUAAGGGAACAAAGUGUCCAGUUGACACCAGAAUACUGAUGCUUACAUAUUUGUAAGCCAGAGUCCAGUGGCCUUCUGAGAGACUUCCUUGUCCGCGGGAUAUGAAAGGUAUAAAGCCACACCCUCAGCUUUUUCAGUCCUUCAACAAAUAUGCUUUGCUGAAACCAUCUAUCAAGCAUGGUGCUACUAAGGUAUAUUGGUUUCUUAGGGCUGCUGACACAAAUUACUAUAAACUUGGUGGCUUAAAGCAACAUAAAUUUAUUCCCUCAUAGUUCCAGAGGCCAGAAGUCUGAAGUCAAGGUGUUGGGAGGGCCAGACUCCCUCUGAAGCCUCUAGAGAACUUGCCUCAUUUCUUCCAGCUUCUGGUGGCUCCAGAUAUUUCUUGGCUUGUGGCUGCAUCACUCCUGUCUCUGCCUCUGGCUUGGCGUGACCUCCUCCUCCCUGAGUGUCUGUCUUCGGUGUGUCUCUGAGAAGGGUACUUGUCAUUGGAUUUAGGGCCCACUUGGACAAUCCAGGCUGAUCUCAUCUGGAGAUCCAUAAUUUAAUUGCAUUUGUGAAGACCCUUUUUCCAAAUAUGAUCACAUUCCUAAGUACUAGGGGUUAGGACUUGGUCAUAUCUUUUUGGGUGCCACCGUUCAAGAUCCAGAGGGUAGAAAGUUGAAAAGGACAGGGUUGUUGUUCUCAAGGAGUUCAGGCUAGUAGGGGAGACAAAUAGUUAAAUAACUAUAUCGAAAGAAUAACCGCAUCCAAAGCUGCGUUCCAGGUGCUGAGGGAUCUUAGAAGAGAUUGUACUGGGAACUGAUGCCGAGGUUGUGGUGGGGCAGAGGUAGGGUGUGUGUUUUUUUUUUAACCUUUGAACUCUACAAUUUCCUGGCAUCUAGAAAUCACUAUAGAACGUCAUCAGGUUGAAAAGACAAGUCCAGUUUGAAUAGUGAGGAUUAACACCGGCCCGGCCAGAUCUGUUGGGUCUGGCUGAGUUCAGCUAACCCUUUUGGUUGCCUCGAGGUUUUGGAGAGUCGGCAGGAAAAGGCGAGAAAGCCGAAGCCCAUGAAUUGGUUGAGAUUUUUGAUGGCUAUAUUUCUGAGAGGUGAAGAGCUGGAUGCCAUGAAAUGGGUCAUUGGCUUUCUCUGUGGCAGAGAAUGGGGAAGAGGACCGCUUGCAUCUGCCAUCCAUCCCAGGUCGGAGCGUGUGUGCCCCUGCAGGGCCACCUCGGGCCAAGGCUGUUGCCCCACUGAGAUCUCCUCCUCUGCUCCAAGGCCUUGGGCCGGAUGUUCUGUCUGAGCCUGGUGUGGUGGGGGAAGGCAGCUACUGCCCCAAGACAUGCUAGAGAGAAGAGACAGAACUGUUACUCACUUCUUUUUUGGGACAGCAUUUUUACAAGCUUUGCAGAACAUCACCUGCAGCUUUUUACAUUCUCCUGGGACUUUACCUUCUUUAUGAUUGUUUAUUAUAUUAAAAAGGUUCUUGAUAAUGGCUAUUAUGGAAUUAUUGUUAAUGUUCUUGUGCGUAAUAUGCUUGUUGUGAAAAAUGUCUUUAUUCCUUUUUUUUUUUAAAGAUUCACCCUGAGCUAACAUCUGUUGCCAGUCUUCCUCUUCUUCUUUUUCCUUCCCCAAAGCCCCAGUGCAUGGUUGUAUAUCCUAGUUGUAAGUUCUGGUUCUUCUAUGUGAGCUGCCGCCACAACAUGGCAACUGUCAGAAGCGUAGUGCGGUUCUGAGACCAGGAAGGGAACCCGGGCCACUGAAGAGGUUGUAAAAAUAACACAGACUCACUGUAUACAACUUGUAAAAUACAGAAGUGUAUAAAGAAGGAAAUAAAAUUACCAUUAACCCGUGCUCCAGAGGCUGGGCCCAUGGUAUGGAAGGUAUCAAUAAAUCCUUGUCGGUGACUUACUUGGAAUGAAUGUCCAGAAAAUGCUCAAGAAUAUCUAAGGAUCCAAAAAGGAGCGACAGAAUAAUUGAAUAUAUAAUUACUGCUUUCUUUGAUAUCUAUGUUUACAAGCUUUCUUUGAACUGGUGGUAUUAUCUGCCUAGAAAGUACCAGAGUUUAUUAACCAUUUUCACAUUUUCUCUCUGACUCCUCCGUCUAACCCUCACUAUCCAUUCCCCCAACACUCAAAAUUUAUUGUAAAAAGGUGUCCUUUGAAAGGCUUUUUAAAAGAAAUGUGAUUAUCUACAGCUCAGUGUCACUUUUAAAGUUGUCCCUUGAUACUUUCUGGAGGCUGCAAAAUAUAUUUAAUUUCCAAACAUUCUUGAAAGUCAUCCAAUAAAUUCAGGCAGGGAGGGAAUGGCCAGGGUACAGGGUGUGCGAGGGACCGCACUGUGAGUUGGCCGGUAUCAUUUAUUAUAAGCAAUCCGGCAGGUGCGUAAAUAACUCCUACCAGGAGGUUUUCCGCUCAGCUUCCCAAAAUGGCUCCAUUUCAACAUCCAGCAGUGACGCUGUAUUCUCAGAAUUGGAUUAGCCAAGGCCUGGGCAAGGUAAAAUCCACUGGAAUGAACCAAAGGAAAGGUUUGCUCCUACAUCAACAGCAUGAGUAUGAAAUAGACUUUUGUUUAUUAAAAAUGGUAGGAUUCAUCACCUAAUUGAAAAAUCCAAUUCUUUGAAGGGCAGAUGUACAUUUCAUAUUAUAUGGUUCAGUCCUAUAGAUUUAGGUUUUGAGCACUUAUUAAGUCUAAGACAUCGUGCUGGGUGCCAUGGAGGAUAAAGAGAUAAGCAAGACCUGGCCUUGGCUUUGGGAGUUCACACACUUGUUGGGAGGCAGACGUAUAUAUCAUCUUAUCACAGGAGAGAUUGAAAAAUUAGAAACGCAAGCAAAAUGCUGUUGGGUUAGAGAGGAAAACUUGGAGAUGUCUCUUGGUUGAGGAGGAAUUCAAACUAGGCAUUCUUCCAUUCAUUUAUUACUCAGACAAUUGUGGAAUGCCAAACUGGUUUCAUACACUAUACCAUGAACACUCAGAGAGGGCCAAUUGUAGUUGUUUAAUUAUUUACAGAAGAAUAAAGUUCAACAGGCAGAAAAGGGAAGGGAGGGCAUUCCAGGGAGUAGGAAUUGAGUUGAGGCCUUGAGGCUGCAUGGCAUGCCCAAGAAACAGGGAGGACACAGGUGUGGCUCUGACCCAGGAGGUGUGUGUGCGAGUGGGGGAUGGUGGGGGCUGGAGUGAAGGUAAAGAUGGAAGAUAAUCAGAGCAAAACUGCAGAGGGCUCUGAAUACCCAGGAAAGGAAAAAUAAAUUGUACUUUUAUUUAUUUAUUUAGUUUUUUUUUAGAUCACAUUUUUAUGAGUCAUUCUAAGUUUACCAAGAUUGCUCCCUUUUAGGUGUAACAGUUGGAAGUGCACUAGCUUGGAAUCAGACUAAACUUUGAAUCUGAGCUGUACCAUUUGCCAGAUGAAUAACUUUGGACAAGUGUCACCUAACCGUUCUGAUGCUCAGUUUUCUCAUCUGCGAAAAUAGGGUUUGUGCAGAUUAAGUUAGAAGAGAUAGGUGAGGGCGCCAAGGACAUUGCCCCCCUUCAGUGGAUACUCAGUAAAUGUUAGCUGCUUCUCCUUCUUUCCCUUCCCUUCCCUCUUCUCUUCUCCGUUUCCCACAGGAGGGCUUUGAUGAAGAAUACAUUUCAGUAACAUCGCUGAGUCCUCAAGCUUGGUUGCUAAUUUUUUUCUCAACUUUAUCCCAGUGGUUCUCAAACCUGAGCAGGUGUCAGAAUCUUCUGGAGGGCUUGGUUAGAAGACAGAGUGCUGGGCCCCACCCAGAGUUUCUGAUUCAGGAGGUCUGCUGGGGCCCGAGAAUCUGCAUUUCUAACAAGUUCCCAGAUGCUGCUGAUGUGGGAACCACACUCUGGGGACUGCUGCUUUAUCUUGUUUUGCCCUGGGGCAGACCCUGUUGGUUGCUUACCCAGCAGCCAUCCCCUCUUGGCUGCUGACAGAGCCCUGACUUGUUUUGGUGGCACAGAAAGAUUCUUUGCUUUCAGAGUUAGGUCUCUAUCUCAGUGCCUGAAGAUGAUGACGAUGGGUCUAGACCAGUCAUGGCAAUCCCAGUCCCCUUGCCCAUUGGUUGGUCUGAAGGUAGGCAAGUGCCCCACAGUGUCUAAAGAGAUGUGAGGGUGAAUCUGCUGACAAAGACUCACAAGGGCAAGGGCUUUGUCCCUUGCCUCUUCUUCCUGAAUGUGUACAUAUUGCUCAAGUUACAGUAGCCAUCUUGUGACCAAGAGAUGAUGAGCAUGAGGAAGAGAACCACCAUGGCAAGGAUGUUAGGGCAGAAAUACAGAAAGAACCUGGAUCCCCAAAGGCCUCAGUGAGUUGCAUGCCCUGGACUGCCCACCUCAACUUGUUCUUAUGUGAGAAAAGAACACUCUC
ensembl:lncRNA